rnacentral:rRNA from 1 species
GGCGGGCUAGACAUGCAGUAGAACGCUGAAGAGAGGAGCUUGCUCUUCUUGGAUGAGUUGCGAACGGGUGAGUAACGCGUAGGUAACCUGCCUUGUAGCGGGGGAUAACUAUUGGAAACGAUAGCUAAUACCGCAUAACAAUGGAUGACACAUGUCAUUUAUUUGAAAGGGGCAAUUGCUCCACUACAAGAUGGACCUGCGUUGUAUUAGCUAGUAGGUGAGGUAAUGGCUCACCUAGGCGACGAUACAUAGCCGACCUGAGAGGGUGAUCGGCCACACUGGGACUGAGACACGGCCCAGACUCCUACGGGAGGCAGCAGUAGGGAAUCUUCGGCAAUGGGGGCAACCCUGACCGAGCAACGCCGCGUGAGUGAAGAAGGUUUUCGGAUCGUAAAGCUCUGUUGUAAGUCAAGAACGGGUGUGAGAGUGGAAAGUUCACACUGUGACGGUAGCUUACCAGAAAGGGACGGCUAACUACGUGCCAGCAGCCGCGGUAAUACGUAGGUCCCGAGCGUUGUCCGGAUUUAUUGGGCGUAAAGCGAGCGCAGGCGGUUUGAUAAGUCUGAAGUUAAAGGCUGUGGCUCAACCAUAGUUCGCUUUGGAAACUGUCAAACUUGAGUGCAGAAGGGGAGAGUGGAAUUCCAUGUGUAGCGGUGAAAUGCGUAGAUAUAUGGAGGAACACCGGUGGCGAAAGCGGCUCUCUGGUCUGUAACUGACGCUGAGGCUCGAAAGCGUGGGGAGCGAACAGGAUUAGAUACCCUGGUAGUCCACGCCGUAAACGAUGAGUGCUAGGUGUUGGAUCCUUUCCGGGAUUCAGUGCCGCAGCUAACGCAUUAAGCACUCCGCCUGGGGAGUACGACCGCAAGGUUGAAACUCAAAGGAAUUGACGGGGGCCCGCACAAGCGGUGGAGCAUGUGGUUUAAUUCGAAGCAACGCGAAGAACCUUACCAGGUCUUGACAUCCCGAUGCUAUUUCUAGAGAUAGAAAGUUACUUCGGUACAUCGGUGACAGGUGGUGCAUGGUUGUCGUCAGCUCGUGUCGUGAGAUGUUGGGUUAAGUCCCGCAACGAGCGCAACCCCUAUUGUUAGUUGCCAUCAUUCAGUUGGGCACUCUAGCGAGACUGCCGGUAAUAAACCGGAGGAAGGUGGGGAUGACGUCAAAUCAUCAUGCCCCUUAUGACCUGGGCUACACACGUGCUACAAUGGUUGGUACAACGAGUUGCGAGUCGGUGACGGCGAGCUAAUCUCUUAAAGCCAAUCUCAGUUCGGAUUGUAGGCUGCAACUCGCCUACAUGAAGUCGGAAUCGCUAGUAAUCGCGGAUCAGCACGCCGCGGUGAAUACGUUCCCGGGCCUUGUACACACCGCCCGUCACACCACGAGAGUUUGUAACACCCGAAGUCGGUGAGGUAACCUUUUGGAGCCAGCCGCCUAAGAUGACAGA